ensembl:lncRNA
ACCCCCACCACUUCUACAGCACAUAACAAUAAUAGCAUUUACAUGGUAUAUUUAAAGUUCAUUGUGUAUUUUAUCUCAUUUCAUCUUCACAACAAACAUCCUCUGAGGUAGGUGCUGGAAUCAUUGCCAUUUACAGAUGGGAAAACUUGGCUUUAGAGGUACAAGGUCACACAGCUAGUAAGUGUCUUUGAUGAGAUUUGAACUCUGGUCUUCCUCACCCCAAGUUCAGCAGUCUCUAGGGAUAGAUGUCAGAGGCUGUAUAUUCUAACUCCCUCACAGCUGAAAAAUUGUCCCCUAGGGAGGAGAAGGGCUUUGCCCAUGGUCACAUAGGAAGGAACCACCAGGGUGGUCUUUGACCUUCAGACUCUCUUUGUGACAGGCCUCACUCCACCUAUAGGCUGGGCCACUUGGGCCCUUCCCUUCCCCGGGUUGGGCUUUGUGGAGAGUGGAAGGGAGCUGCCUUCCCACAUGAGACCCUUUGAGGACAACCUCUGCAUCUCGCUCCUGACCUCCUUCUGCUGUUCCCUGACACAAAAACAGCCCGAUGCUUUCAGAAACAGAAGCAAGAACAGCCCCACUGAGGGGCCGGCAGCCUGUCCUCCACACGUGAAUCUCUAAAGGUAUGAGUUAAAGACAGACCGCCCCCACCCUUCAGGGCAACUUCAGGAGAACUGGGAAGAAGGUGGAGCCAGCGGACAUCGGAGGCUGCACGAAAGGACACCAGCUCCUCUGUUUACAGCCUGUAUCCUCCCAAGAGAGCACAAGCCAGUUUCCAGAAUCUUUCAGGUGGUAAGCACUUGAUGAAUGUUUAUUGGGUUGGAUCGGAAAAUUGGGUGUUGUUAGUCACUGAGGAGGGAGGAAAUGCUCCCCAGAGCAGGCCUCUUGUCGAUGGUAACCACAGAGCUGAGCAGCCAGCUCUUCCACCGCCCCCACUGACCGCAUUUAACAGUUCAAUGACCAAAUGACUGGGGCUCUUAUCUGUGAGAGAGUUCUCCUUCCCUUCAGCGGGCAGCCUGGAGAAGGGACCAGAAGAGUCACAGGCACAGCCCUUCAGCUGAAACGGAGCUCAGAGAAAGCGUUCCCCUGGGGACGGAGGCUUCACACUGACUCCAGAGAAACCUGAAAUACAGAUGAAGUCACCGGCCUCCCCCACUGCCGGACGGCUGUCACCAUCACUCAUCUGCCUUCUUCAAGUUCCUGUGACUCAUGAUACUGAUAGUAAUAACUAACAUUUGUAUAGCACUUUGAGGUUUCCAAAGAACUUUAUACAUGGUAUCCUCAGAGCAACCCUGGGAAGGAAGUGCCAUGGUUAUCCCUGUUUUAUAGAUGAGGAAAGUGAGGGGGAGGUUAAGUGACUUGCUCAGGGCCACACAGCUACUAAAUGUCUGAGGCAGGAUCUGAAUUCAGGUCUUCCUAACUCCAAGUCCAGUGUUCCGUGUCAGGGGACCACCUAGCUGUCUCCCUGGACUCUUAGAAUUUAGGACUGGACUAUGUAUAAACUUGUCUUCCUCAAACGGACAGCGAUUAGCCCUGCAAAGAGGCACAUGCCUACCUUCCCAUGGGGCAGUGGGGUUGGUUCACGUGGGGAUUAUAAGCAUUGGAUCUGAGGUCCAGAGAGCACAGAGUUCAGAUCCUGCUCCUACCACUUCUGGGGUGUGAUUGUGGUGUGGCUCAGCUCUGGAAUGGAAAUACCAAUAGUUCUAGCACUCACCUUACACCACUAAGUAAAUAGGGGACGGGGUCAGGAUUGCACACUUCUUAUCUGUGACUUCAGCGACCAUCAGGAUUGCCUGAUGGAUGAGGAAACUGAGGCCCAGGAAGGUAAAUGACUGCCUGAGAGCACUCAGGGAUUUAAAUGCAGGUCCUUGGACUCACCAGAAUCAGUGAUCUUAACGUCCAUUAUACCAGGAUGUAGCCUCUUAGAAGAAUGUAAGCUCCUUGAGGGCAGAGACUGUUUUGUCUUUG